CAAGACACCCUACAGUACAAAGGUUAUAUUCAUGGUGGCAUUUCAGUAGUCCUAAAGAGUGAGACCCACGGCUUAACUAAGCUUUCCAUUCCUCUGUUUGUCAUUGCCUCUCGCAUAGAGACAGCCACUUCCACUUCUCACCACUCCUUCACCCCACGCACUAGACAGGGAGGCGGGUAGAGGGACAAGCUGGGCUGACCAUUUCAUUUCUGGGGAAGGCUCGGG